rnacentral:lncRNA from 1 species
AGAGAGAAAACUAGCGGAGGGGAAACCGCUCGUCGCAGUAGCUGUGACCCCUUCCCCGCCGUGCGUCGCCGUCGUGCAGUGCCGAGCCGCCAUCCCCGCCGCGUCGUCCCACGCCGGCCGACCCGCGACCGCUUCUCCCUCGGUCCAGCUUCGCCGCUCCGCCCCGUUCUCCCUCGCCUCUCCAGCCGCCUCAACCGUCGUCCCAAGCUGCUCGUCGUCGCCAGCAGCCGCCGGAGGCCCGUCGGAGUCGCCACCUGCACCGCCCGAGCUACCGUCACCCUUCCCCGCCAGUUUCGGGCCAACCGGCCGCUGUUUUGGCCCUCCUCCGCUGCGACCAGCAGCUGAUUUUUGUGGGUCUCGCAGCCCACUUAAGGCCCGUUUUGGCCACCUUCCCGGCCCUGGAAGCUAGGCUGGCCUUUGGAAAAGUUGAUCCCGGCGUCGCCCUCGUCGUUUUGGUCUAAGCGGCGAGUUAAUCAAGUGAGUUUACCUCACUAAACCUUGAUUAGAGUGUUAAUGAUGCCCUAAAUGUGUUUAGUUUAAAUUAAGUAAGUUUAGGUGGAUAGAUUAGUAUAUUUAAUUAUAAGUUUGAUUAAGUGAUUGGUUUAUAUUAAAGUGUGUUUAAUUAAGGUUAAAAGGAGUUAUUUAAUGUUAAACCUUGAUGGGACAUAAUAGGAUUUUAGUUUUGAAUUAUUUAAUUGCUUCGAAAAUUCUGGAAAAUAUAAUAUUAUAUUAUAAUCCGAAAAUUAAAAAAAAAAACCCGAAAAUUUACUUUUGACCCUAUUUGCUUAGAAUUUCGUGCCGAUCAUUGCUGUGUGUUUAUAAUUUGAAUUUGAUGAGUAAAUAUUGCAAAUUGAAUGUUGAUUGUGAAAAAUAGGAAUUUUAUUCAAAAAUUCCCACGUGUCGGGUUUGACACCGAAAUCGAAAUUUGAAGGGUUAAUAUUGAAAUUGGAGUAUGUGAGUGACAUGUAAAGUGUACAAGGGUCGAUUUUGAAUUGUCGUGUGCUGGUUGAAAGGCUUGGUCGCAGUAGUGGCGAGACCGACUGGACCUUUAUUCUUCUAGAAAUGCCGUCGAUAGAAUGACGUGGCUUGGUCGCAGUAGUGGCGAGACCGACUGGACCUUUAUUCUUCUAGAAAUGCCGUCGAUAGAAUGACGUGGCUUGGUCGCAGUAGUGGCGAGACCGACUGGACGUUUAUUCUUCUAGAAAUGCCGUUGAUAGAACGACGUGGCUUGGUCGCAGUAGUGGCGAGACCGACUGGACCUUUACUCUUAUAGAAAUGCUGUAAUGCUAGUAGAUAGCCGACCUACGUGUAGGCUGUGCCCUUGUGGGGCAGUGGAUAAUGAUGACAUGGAACGCUUGCUGUGAUUGUGGAAUUAAGUGAAAUUGAGUGUGUUCUGAUGGCUUACAUUUUUAUUAUUACUGGUGCUUGAGUGAUAUGAAUUAUACUAACCUGCAGGAAGGCAAGAAGGCGAGGUAAGUCUUCUGUACUGUGUGGCUAGACCAUUUUGGGGUGUAUUUGCUUUCUAAUAGGGGUUUAGGAGGGGUGAACUUGCCGAGACAAAGUCUCAUCCCGGUUUGGGGAAAAAUAUUAUAGGACCGUAGAUGGCGAUACCCCGAAGAUGAAUGGCACGCCGACGGAAAUGGACUAGACGAUAGAGAGUUCUCCUGACCCUUUUUUGAUUGCACAAACUCUGACCCAUUUUUGGUGCAUAUAGUCUAUGGAUCCUGUUGGUGUAUGUAAACCCUGGAUUGAUGAUGACGUAUGAAAGUGUGUUUGUUUUUGAAUUUAUUUUUCCUGCUGUCCUAUCCCGUAUGUUUUGUCAGGGGGUUUCUUAGCACGUUCCGUAUGUGUUGGAGAAAUCUUUCCAGAAUAUUUUGAAGCUGACAAAACAUUUCUAUCAGUCUAGUCUGGAUAUCGACAGUUUAAAGUCUCAAGACUUUGUAAUCUCAAGACUUUGUAAUCUCAAGACUCAAGACUCAAGACUCAAGACUCAAGACUCAAGACUAUUCUCACUGACAGUCUUUCUAAUCCAGUGACGAAGGAAAUCCGAAGCCGAAGUAUAUGGUUGAGGAUUCGAUCCUAUCCUUUGGAAAAGAUCCCUUGGUUGGAUAAUCAUUUCGGAUUCUUUGAUUCUUAUCUAAGAACAAUUGAAGAUCCGAUGAUCGACGAAACAUUCUUGGAAUGUUCUAUUCUUGGAAACCAAAAUCCUGAUUGUAUGGGCGAACAGGAUUGAUGGGCUAUCAUCAGAUUCCUUAAAUAGCUCGGAUGAUCUUCUUAAUUGAUUCCGUCCAACGGGUAGAUUGGAGGAAUUCCUUUGGUAAGUGCCAACGGCUAUGAUGGCAUAAAGGAGUAUAAAAGGAAGACGUUCUAGUUGUUUUAAGUGUGUGAUUGAUAGAAAAAUUCCAGAGUCUGAAGAACCUUGAUUGUUAGUCGAUACAGUUCGAGCGAAAUUGUAUACACAGAGAGUGUUUAUACUUGGUGACACCUUGAGCAAGUGUAGUAGAUCAUCUAUACCUAGAAAUCAAGGAAGAUCAACACUGUAACAUCUCUUUGUUCAUAGUGGAAUCCAGCCAAUCGGCUGUCAGUGCAGAAGAGUGGACGUAGGCUUGAAUCAAGCCGAACCACUAUAAACCGCGUGUUCAAUUCUCUCUUUCCUUUACUCAGUCUUUGAUUGAUUUUUUAAUCCUUCAUCUGUCUAAGUAUUGUGCAAUCUUCAAGAAAAUUUUUAUAAACCUAUUCACCCCCCUCUAGGUUCUCGUACUAGCAAUAUCAAUUGGUAUCAGAGCUCGUGUUCUUACUUUAUUUGAAGUGUUUUACUUCAGAGUAAAAGAGUAAAAGAUCCAUGGCUAGUAUGCUAGCACCAGGGCUGGUGGAAGGGCAAAGCAAUACCAGACCACCCUACUUUGAUGGAAAGGAUUACAACAUCUGGAAAAACAAGAUGAAAGCUUUUCUAUGGUCAAAGGAUCCUCUGGAAUGGGAUGUGGUGGAAAGAGGAAUUACUCCUACUGCUGCAUCAGUAUCCGAAAGAGGGAAAGAAACUGUUGAUACCAGCGGAAUGUCUCAAGAAGAGAUAAACAAGAGACAAGCACUCGAUGCAAAAGGAAUUUACUCUUUAUAUUGUGCUUUAUCACCAACUGAAUAUAACAGAAUAUCUUCUUGUGAUAUAGCAAAAGAAGUCUGGGACAGAUUACAUAUCACUUAUGAAGGGACAGACCGAGUGAAGGAGACCAGAAUUAACAUUCUCCUUGGUCAAUAUGAAUCCUUCAAAAUGAAACCAGGAGAAUCUAUAACUGACAUGUUUAGCCGUUUUACAGAUAUUGUCAAUGGCCUUGAGAAUCAAGGACAGAAAAUUUCUGAUCCUAUGAAGGUGAACAAGUUACUGCGUGGACUCUCCAAGGAUUGGAAUCAUAGAAAGACUUCAAUAAGAGAGACGCAAAGAAUUAUGCCAUUAUCUGUAGACGAGCUAAUUGGAACUCUUCAGUCUUACGAAGUGGAACGAAUUAAUGAAGACGAAGAUCCAAGAGGUAAGAAAUCCAUUGCAUUAAAAUCUAACGAUGAUUCUGAUGAUACAGACUCUGAAGAAGAUCUGGACGAUGAGGAGCUUGCUCUAAUGAUUAGAAAGUUCAGAAAGCUGAAUAGAAGAGGAAGAAGGUUCAACUCAAGGAAACAAAGUCUUCAGAAACAGCAAACCAAGUUUGUUGAUAAUGAGGAACCAAACAAAGAUGUAGUUUGCUUCGAAUGUAAGAAAAAGGGACACAUCAGACCAAAUUGUCCUCUCCUGAAGAAGAAGAGAGGAAAAGCUGAAAAGUCUCGAAAAGCUCUCAAAGCCGAAACUUGGAGCGAUACAGAGUGUGAAGAAAGUGAUGAGGAAUAUGCCAACCUGUGUCUGAUGGCACAAUCAGACUCAGAUUCUAGAUCAGACUCAGACAGUGAAUUUGAGGUAAGUGAUUAUAAAAUCCCUGUCAAAGUCUCUAAAUACAUUGAUGAACUAUGUUUUAGUCUUAAGACUUCUCUAAAAAGGAUUUCCGAACUUAAAAAGGAAAACUCAGUUUUAAAACAAAAGGAAAAUAUUUUAGAAGAAAAAGUGAAAAGUUUAGACUUGAAUGUUUCUACUCUUAAGGAGAAUGAAGAUAAACUUUCAAAAGAAAAUGCUUUCUUAAAAACUGACUUAUCAAAUAUUUCAAAGAAAUUUUCAAUAGGGUCUGAAAAACUUGAAAAAGUUCUUUCAGUCCAAAGACCUUACUUUAACAAGUCUGGUUUAGGUAUGACAGCAGAAACAAUUCCUUUGAUUGAUUUUCCAAAAGUAAAAGAAAGAAUUAAAAAAAGACCGUCAAAAGAGGCUUACAAAAAUCAUUUCAAGAAAGUCUUUGUAAAGUCUGUAGGUCGAAAUGCUCUAAGGUGUUCAAAGUGUAACAGUCAGGAUCAUUUUGAAAAAGAGUGUCCUAUGGUUUGGAAGCCUGUUAAGAAAGUAUGGCCUAGUAAUGCUUAUUCUACUAACGCCAAAGGACCCAAGAAAAUUUGGGUACCAAAGAAAGCUUGAGACUCUCUUUUGAAUGCAGAUCUCUGUCAAAAAGAAAGUUAAGUGGUAUCUUGACAGCAGAUGUUCAAGACACAUGACAGGAGACUCAAAUUGCUUCAUAAAGCUUGUUCAAGUGAAUGGUGGAAAAGUCUCAUUUGGAGGAAACAGCAAAGGAAGCAUUGUGGGAUUUGGAACUGUGAAAAUUGGAAAUCUCACAAUAAGCAAUGUCUCUCUAGUGGAAGGACUCAACUACAAUCUUCUAAGCAUUAGCCAAUUGUGUGAUACUGGUUUCAAGAUCUCCUUUCAAGAAGGCAUAUGUUCUGGAAUUAGCAAAGACUCAACUCAGUCUUUCAUGGGUCGAAGGUAUGGAAAUAUCUACCUUCUUGAUGUAAAACCAAAUGAAGCACAAUGCCUAAUCUCAAUUCAAGAUGAAGCAGUCUUAUGGCACAGAAAGCUUGGCCAUGUCAACAUGAAGCAAUUAGCCAAAAUCUCAUCAAAGAAGCUUGUUCGAGGUCUACCUAAAUUGCCAUACCAAAAGUUUGAUUCAUGCACUCCAUGCAUUCUGGGAAAGCAGGUAAGAAAUUCAUUUAAGCCAAUAAAUCAUGUCUCUACUAAUCAUAUACUACAGUUGCUUCAUAUGGAUCUCUUCGGACCAACUAGAACCCAGAGCAUUGGAGGUAAGAAAUAUUGCCUAGUAAUUGUGGAUGAUUACUCCCGCUUUACUUGGGUAUAUUUCCUUGCAAGUAAGUCAGAAACCUUUUCGUAUUUUGAAAAAUUUGCCAAAAAGGUUCAAAAUGAAAAAGGAUGUGCAAUCUCAAGCAUAAGAACAGAUCAUGGAAGUGAAUUUGAAAAUCAAGAUUUUACGAAAUUUUGUGAUAAAUCUGGUUUUAAUCAUAUGUUUUCCUCUCCAUAUACUCCAGAGCAAAAUGGAGUUGUGGAAAGAAAGAAUAGAUCUCUUCAAGAAAUGGCUAGAACACUUUUAAUUGAAAGCAAAAUUUCUUCACGAUUUUGGGCUGAAGCUGUUUCAACAGCAUGCUAUAUUAUAAAUAGAGUCUUUUUAAGACCUAUUUUAGAGAAAACCCCCUAUGAAUUGUUCAAAGGUAAGAAGCCUAUUGUUUCAUACUUUCAUGUGUUUGGUUGCAAAUGCUUUAUUUUGAAAAAUGCAAAUGAUCGAGUUGAUAAGUUUGAAGAAAGAUCAGAUGAAGGCAUCUUCCUUGGAUAUUCUACAUCAAGCAAAGCCUACAGAGUCUAUAACAAGAAAAGCCAGUCGGUGGAGGAAUCAACGAAUGUCAAAUUCCAAGACUCAAUGCAAGAUGAAUCCAGCCAGACUCAGUAUGAAGAGUCUGAACCCACUCCAGACCUUCCAACGCUUACAACUCAAGAAGCAUCUCAGUCUCUGGAAGUCCAACAUCAAGAAGCACAUGAAGAUUCAAACAAAGAAAGAGAUCAUCAACCAGGCAGAUCAACCAGUAACUGGAAGCAUAAAUCCAGUCAUCCCAAAGAUCUCAUUAUUGGCGAAAUCAAUGAAGGAAUCCGCACCAGAUCAAAAAGGCGUGAAGAAUCUAGUGCUGUGGCUCUCAUUUCUGAAAUUGAACCAAAAAGCAUAGAAGAAGCUUUAUCUGAUGAAAGUUGGAUCGAAGCUAUGCAAGAAGAACUCAGACAGUUCAACAUCAAUGAUGUCUGGGAAUUGACAUCUAAACCAAAAGGUAAAACUGUUAUUGGAACCAAAUGGGUAUUCAGGAACAAGAUGAAUGAAGAAGGAAAAGUCGUACGAAACAAAGCAAGACUCGUGGCCAAAGGAUAUACGCAAGAAGAAGGAAUAGACUAUGAUGAAACUUACGCUCCAGUAGCAAGGUUAGAAGCUAUUCGUCUAUUACUUGCGUUUGCUUGUUAUAAAAAUUUCAGGUUAUUCCAAAUGGACGUCAAAAGUGCAUUCCUAAAUGGAUUCAUCCAUGAGGAAGUUUAUGUGGAACAACCACCUGGGUUUGAAGACCCAAAGAAGCCAGACUCAGUCUUCAGACUGAAAAAUGCCUUGUAUGGUUUAAAGCAAGCACCUCGAGCUUGGUACGACAGACUAAGUAAGUUCUUAUUACAGAAUGGUUUUGUCAAAGGUAAAGUAGAUACUACUUUGUUUAUCAAAAAGGAAAACAAAAGCUUUUUACUUGUUCAAAUAUAUGUGGACGAUAUUAUUUUUGGAUCACCUAAUGAAAGUCUAUGCAAGAAAUUUUCUAAGUCUAUGCAGGAUGAGUUUGAAAUGAGUAUGAUGGGAGAGUUAACAUUCUUUCUUGGACUCCAAGUGAAACAAAUGAAGGAAGGAACUUUCAUUCAUCAAGAAAAAUAUGCGAAUGAUCUUGUCAAAAGGUUUGGAUUGGAAAAGUGCAAAAAGACCGACAUACCAAUGUCAUGUUCUCAGAAGAUAGACAAGGAUGAAGAAGGGAAGAAAGUAGAUCAAAAGCUGUACAGGAGCAUGAUCGAUUCACUUCUUUAUCUUACUGCUUCUAGACCUGAUAUUUUGUUGAGUGUUUGCAUUUGUGCUAGGUUUCAAUCAGAUCCUAGAGAAUCCCAUCUCAGUGCUGCAAAACGUGUUAUCAAAUACGUUGCCUUAUCUUCAAGCAUCGGUCUCUGGUAUCCCAAGAAGGGAGACUUUAAUCUUCUAGGAUACUCAGAUGCAGAUCUGGCCGGUUGCAGAGUCGAUAGAAAAAGCACUUCUGGGACUUGUCAACUGCUUGGAAACAUGACAGUGUCUUGGUUCUCGAGGAAGCAAAGCACUGUAGCUCUCUCAACGACAGAAGCAGAGUAUGUAGCUCUUGGAAGCUGCUGUUCGCAAAUUCUAUAGAUAAAACAAUAGCUACAAGACUUUGGGAUUGAAGACUCAUGCACAGAAAUCAGAUGUGACAACACCAGUGCGAUCAAUCUCACCAAAAAUCCAAUCCUUCAUUCAAGAGCAAAGCAUAUUGAGAUUCGACAUCACUUCAUUAGAGAUCAUAUUCAAAAUGGAGAAAUCUCGAUUCAAUUUGUUGAUUCAAAGAGUCAACUAGCGGAUAUAUUCACAAAGCCUUUGGAGAAAAAUCAAUUCGACUUUAUCCGUUCAAGACUCAACAUUUUGAAGCUUGAAGAAGUUAAAGUCUAGAGACUCACCAACUCUAAGACUCUAAUCUUUCAGACUUUAAAUCCUCAGACUCAGACAUUCGUGGCUAUAGACUGUAAGUUGUAUUUCAUCUAAAAGGUACGAAUUUUCGUUUAGUUAUUUUAACUCGAAAAGGUACGAUCUUUCGUUCAGUUAUUCUAUAAUCCGCAUGAAAUUUGAAGACUUAUUUUCUUUAAAAAAAAAAAAAGGAAUAAUUUUGGCAGUUAUUGAUUUUGAAAAGAAGUGAUCGUUCACUUUCCUUGCACCGAUUGAACUUCCCUUUUCAAAACUGAGUUAUAUAUAUACAGUUUUUCUUUUCCCAAUCUUCAAAACCCUAAAAGGCACUCUCCUCCCGAUACUGUUUUUACUGCUUGUUCGUCGUCGAGAAAGUGGUCAUUUUACUUGGGAAAGCAAGUGAAGGAAUCUUCCAAUCGACAAAGAAAGAUGUCUUCUUCGAGGAAAUCAUCAAGAAUCGCAAGCAGGGGACCACAAAGAAUGGAGAAGGGACCGACUCACUUCGAUCUCACUGAGGAAGAAGACUUAACAAGUCAGCGACAAAGUCCGAUUCGCUCUCAUCCACGUCAUUCAACGCCUCCUGCCCCACAAGGUGCAAGUCAUCAUCUGGAAGAAGAGAUAAUCGAGGAUGCCGACCCAGUAAGAGUCCAAAAGCCCUCCUUUAUCUAUAAACUUUAUCGUGCGUUGAAAAGCACCGGUACUCCAUUGAAUUAUAUAGAUGACUUCCUUAAGGACAAAAAUUAUGGGAAUGAGUAUCUUUUUCUGAGGAAAAUGGAGGAAUUGGGAAUUGCUCCGAAAGGAAAAGCAGAGGACACACUUGCGAACAUUCCAAGUGAUCCUCGUAUGCCAGGACAAAAUUUAAUUGAAGGGAACGAUGAUGACAGAAUGUUCCUUGAAUUUCAACCGAAAAUGGGAGUGGCAGCAAAGGUGAAAGGAAAUCGGAUGGAUUUGUUCAAAUCCAAGGAUCAGGAAAAAGUGUAUUUCAGGCUGUUGAAAAGAGGGGUGAUAAACCCUAGAAGUGUCGAUUUUGACUUCCUAGACGCCAUCAACAUAAACUUAAGAGAAAAGUUGAAUUUGUUUCAACUUGAGAAUUUUUGCUCUGACUCUACGGACGGGUAUGCUCAUCUGACCGCUUAUUUCCUAGACGCCAUCAACAUAAACUUAAGAGAAAAGUUGAAUUUGUUUCAACUUGAGAAUUUUUGCUCUGACUCUACGGACGGGUAUGCUCAUCUGACCGCUUAUUUCUAUUCAAAUCUUAGCUUUCUGGAUGCGAAUAGAAUUUCAUUCAGUGUACGAGACCAAGUCUACGUGGUAGAUGUGAAUAUGUUGGCGGACAUAGUUGGAGUUGAACGAGGACGUUAUCUACCAAUCAAAGUCUCACCUGCUCGUACUACUCUGGAACUUGUCAAAGAUAGGAACGCAGAGAAGAAAGUUACCUAUUCCAGGAUGAAUGCCAUCAACAUUGUGCUUCAUAAGAUUGUAAUCAACUGUCUAAGACCGAAGUCUACGUCAAAGACUUCCGUGUCUCUUUCUGAAGCAAAGUUGAUGUACGCGAUCAACUCAGGACGGAAGUUCUCUCUCCCGCACACUAUUCUCUUCCAUAUGUACAGAGCAAUGUCGAAAGACAAAGGACAAUUGCCUUAUCCUGGUCUGGUGACCAAGAUCUUCAGACACAUGAAUAUUGAACCGCCACAAACACUUUGUGUUCAACCGUGUGAUAAGAUGGUGGUAGGUUUGAAGAUGUUAACGAAGAUGCGUCUGCAAGAACUUUCCAAGGCAAUGGAGAAAUUCAGAGUGAAAUCUCCAGUUCAGUCUGCUUCAAAGAGAAAAGGAAAUGAGGCUAUUGGUGCCCCAUCGAAAAAGAAGAAAAGACCUCUCAUCCUGGAGGAUGAAGAUGAAGAGGAUGAAGAUCCUACUAUCCAUGCACUGACAAGAACCAGACGUUCUGUGUCUCAGCCGACAGAAUUUCAGAAGAAACAGAGAGAAGAAGAAGAGCAAACCAAGAGCAGAGAAGAAGAAGAGCAGAGAGAGAAGGAGAAAGAAGCUGAAGAAGAGAAAGAAAAGUCUGCUGCUGAAUCUGGAGAGAAGGGAAAUCUAGAGCAUGAUCAUCACUCUUCCCUUUUGGAUGUCCUAGAAACAGGGGGAGUUGGCGAGCAAGAAAGGUCUACACCUCAUGCUGUAGAUAGUGAAGGUCCAAGACAAUCUCCAGCAGACCCAGAAGAAUUUCAGGCUUCUCAAUUGCCUGAAGAAGGUGAUACGUCGACACCAAAUCUGCAAGACUAUACAGAAGCGCCAUCGUAUACAUUUACUCCAUCUGAAAAAGCUCAUGCCAGUACACAAACAGACAAUUCUGCAGAUUUUCAUCGUAUCAUGGAUAUUCUUCUGGAAAUGCGUGGCCAGAUAUAUGCUCUGGACUGUGAAAUUCAAGCCAUGAAGAAUGCUGGACAAGCAUCUUCAGUCAACCUGGAGGACAAGAUGAAAGACCUCGCUCUGCAACUUCAAGCCAAUGCCAAAGGAGAGGAAGUAGCUCAUCUAAGGGAGGACUUGAAGAGGCUAGAAGGCGUAGUCCAGUCAAUGGGAGAUUUCCAGAUCGUGCGCAUUCCCAAGCAGACAUGACUCCUUUCUCACCCUUUUUAAUGAUGACAAAAAGGGGGAGAACCAAUUUGAACCAACAUUUUUAAAACUUUGACUUUUGUGGUUAUGUUUAUUUUUGAGUAUGACUUGAGAACUUGAACUUGGGUGUGAAUUUAAAUUUGAUUGAAUUGGCUGUGGAUUUUGAUGCUUGAUUGGUUGCAUUUAUAUCAAGUAUUGUUAUAUGGUAUUACUCAUGAAAGACUAACCAAUUUGCUGUGGAUGCAGAGUCUGGUUGUUUUAUUAAUCUUUAUGAGUUAGCCAUAUUGCUUGAGAAAUGUUUUUGCAGGUCAAAGUUGUUCAAAUCUACAAGAAAGUUUUGUCACUAUCAAAAAGGGGGAGAUUGUUGGAGAAAUCUUUCCAGAAUAUUUUGAAGCUGACAAAACAUUUCUAUCAGUCUAGUUUGGAUAUCGACAGUUUAAAGUCUCAAGACUUUGUAAUCUCAAGACUUUGUAAUCUCAAGACUCAAGACUCAAGAAUAUUCUCACUGACAGUCUUUCUAAUCCAGUGACGAAGGAAAUCCGAAGCCGAAGUAUAUGGUUGAGGAUUCGAUCCUAUCCUCUGGAAAAGAUCCCUUGGUUGGAUAAUCAUUUCGGAUUCUUUGAUUCUUAUCUAAGAACAAUUGAAGAUCCGAUGAUCGACGAAACAUUCUUGGAAUGUUCUAUUCUUGGAAAUCAAAAUCCUAAUUGUAUGGGCGAACAGGAUUGAUGGGCUAUCAUUAGAUUCCUUAAAUAGCUCGGAUGAUCUUCUUAAUUGAUUCCGUCCAACGGGUAGAUUGGAGGAAUUCCUUUGGUAAGUGCCAACGGCUAUGAUGGCAUAAAGGAGUAUAAAAGGAAGACGUUCUAGUUGUUUUAAGUGUGUGAUUGAUAGAAAAAUUCCAGAGUUUGAAGAACCUUGAUUGUUAGUCGAUACAGUUCGAGCGAAAUUGUAUACACAGAGAGUGUUUAUACUUGGUGACACCUUGAGCAAGUGUAGUAGAUCAUCUACACCUAGAAAUCAAGGAAGAUCAACACUGUAACAUCUCUUUGUUCAUAGUGGAAUCCAGCCAAUCGGCUGUCAGUGCAGAAGAGUGGACGUAGGCUUGAAUCAAGCCGAACCACUAUAAACCGCGUGUUCAAUUCUCUCUUUCCUUUACUCAGUCUUUGAUUGAUUUUUUAAUCCUUCAUAUGUCUAAGUAUUGUGCAAUCUUCAAGAAAAUUUUUAUAAACCUAUUCACCCCCCUCUAGGUUCUCGUACUAGCAAUAUCAGUAUGCGCAUGAUAAUUUAAAUAAAAGAAAUUGGGGUCGGCGACACUACCUGGGAAUGUCUCAUUUACAUGACCAUGGCGGGUUGUUCACAUGUCUCGGGGUUCGGGGCGUGACACUACUCCCUCUCGAUUCUCUUUUUCGGUUUUUCCUCCUUUUUUUUUUUUUGUCUCUCAGAGUGCUCUUUUCUUUUUCUUCUUGCAGGUCUGCCCCCUGCUCCUCCUCCCUCUCUCAAGUACUUCUCUCGCUCCAGCCCUCACUCUCAAGCACCUCUUUUUUCCUCUGCUACGCCUGCUUUCUUUUCUCUCUAUCUUCUGUUCUCAUUCUUUCUCCGUCUACUUCAGAUUCGGGUUUCGGGAAAACGAGCGGCGGCUGGUGUGAUCGGUGGCGUCAUGGCUCGAGGGAGCGACACGGGCGAGGGGUGCUCAGAGCGGCGAUGUCCGGCGGAGGAGGGCUCCGACUGCUGGCGCGGUGGUCGUCGCAGCUGCAGGUGCUGCAACGGCGUCACGGCUUCGAGCUGCUAGUGGUCGCUGCGGCGUCAGCGACGAAGCUGGUUGCAGGAGCGGUGGCGGCACGGCGAGGGGACUAGAAGCGGCGGCUCGGAUGACCUCGGGUUGAGGCGACAAGGCCUCCCUUCUCGGAUUCUUCCCCGACCUGAUUUCUCUCUCUCUCCCUCUGGUUCCUCUCUCCCCUUCGGACUCUCCCCCCUAUUCUCUCUUUUCUUUCUCCUCGUGUGUCCAUUCCCCCUUUUUUCUCUAUUCACUGUCUUUCUUUUUCCUUUUCCCCGGUCUCCGAUGCUCCUUUGUUCACUGUCCUCCUGCUGCCCCUGUUUCUGUUCUGUUUUGCAGGUCCGCAUGCGAAGGAGGAAGACAGCCAGGCAUGGGUUGGAGGGGAAAAGAAGCUGGGCCGGGCCUAGGCCAGAUUAGGCCCAACUCAACCCCCUUAAGCAUUUUUGUUUUUUUGUUUUUUUUAUGGCAAUUUUUUUUUUUGUAUUUUUUUUAGCAACUAAUUCCUAGUUUUGUAUGUGAUUAAGUUUUAAGUAAAAUGGCAAAAUUUAGUUGUCAACA